rnacentral:rRNA from 1 species
GUUAAAAAGCUCGUAGUUGGAUUCCUGACCUGGGGUAGCCGGUCCGCCUUGCAAAAGGUGCGCACUGAGCGGCCUCGGUCAUCCUUGAGAAGAGCGGUCCUGGCAUUCAGUUGUCGGGGUCGGGAUUCUCGACGUUUACUGUGAAAAAAUCAGAGUGUUCAACGCAGGCUUACGCCUUGAAUACAUUAGCAUGGAAUAAUGAGAUAGGACCUUGGCGGUCUAUUUUGUUGGUUUGCACGCCGAGGUAAUGAUUAAAAGGGACGGUUGGGGUUCUUCGUAUUCAAUUGUCAGAGGUGAAAUUCUUGGAUUUAUGGAAGACGAACUGCUGCGAAAGCGUCGAACAAGGACGUUCUCAUUAAUCAAGAACGAAAGUUAGGGGAUCGAAGAUGAUUAGAUACCACCGUAGUCUUAACCAUAAACUAUGCCGAUUCAGGAUUGGCGGUCGUUUGUUCUCGACUCCGUCAGCACUGUAUGAGAAAUCAAAAUCUUUGGGUUCCGGGGGGAGUAUGGUCGCAAGGCUGAAACUUAAAGAAAUUGACGGAAGGGCACCACCAGGAGUGGAGC